UGAACUCGCCUCCCAUUUGCUGGAGACAUC
rnacentral:piRNA from 1 species